UGCGGAGGAUGCGAGCGUUAUCCGGAUUUAUUGGGUUUAAAGGGUGCGUAGGCGGACUGUCAAGUCAGCGGUAAAAUUGAGAGGCUCAACCUCUUCCCGCCGUUGAAACUGGUGGUCUUGAGUGGAUGAGAAGUACGCGGAAUGCGUGGUGUAGCGGUGAAAUGCAUAGAUAUCACGCAGAACUCCGGUUGCGAAGGCAGCGUACCGGCAUCCAACUGACGCUGAGGCACGAAAGCGUGGGUAUCGAACAGG
rnacentral:rRNA from 1 species